UCAUCUACAGGUGAGCACGCUGCCCUCUCAGCUCCAAGCUCUGUCAGGAUGUUUGUAAGGUGUGAAGUGUUCUGGAAUUGGAUUUGUGCACGUGUAUAGGUAGUAGGUACUGGCAACUGAUGCAAAACGGGCUGCCGCACGCCAAGACUGACAUCAAGUUGGAGUCGGCGGCUUGAAGAAGAGCAAGGGUGGUCAACCGAACGAUCUGGUAGAGCUCAGGAGCUGCCUCUUCUUCAAGGUAUUAUUGCACAUGUAUAAUGGUCGUUGCAUUUUUUCGUAGGGGAAAUGGUUUAUGCUAGGGGUUCCUUUUUUAUAGGAAACCUGCAAAAUAGUACUCACAUUAAAGGUCACAAAAUUAUAUACUUCAUUCAAGAUGGAGCAAGUUAGUUGUGUUUGGUGCUCAAUCAACUUGGAGCUUCAGCUUUGAUCUGUAUUAUUAUUCUGGUGUGAAGGUUUACUGAGUUUUUCAUGGAAAAAAAGCUGGCUGCCAAUGGGUGGCAUCGAUUCCAUUCGCAUCGAACUUUAUUCCGUCAUGGGCGAGCUAGAUCCAGCAGUAUGGUGGCAAGGGAGUUUGAACUGGCCUUUGGUUUCUUUGUGAAGUGGGAGUGACAGCAAAUCCAGGGCGCUGAUGGGCUCGAUCCAGUGGUAGGGUUCUCCAUGCUUUGGUUCCACAUCAGCACAACAACCUCUAUGACGAGCUUGGUACCGGUACGCCUUCCCGAGGCUAUAAAAUGUUCUUCCAGAUAUGUUCCAAGGUCAUUUUUAUGGGAGGCCAUGAUGCGAUGGAAACAUCACCAUGAUCUCUCGAAGAAUCUCUAUUGCAUUUCAUGUCUUCGAUGUUAAACAUAAAGGGUCAAGUAACAGAGAGAAAGAAAGAGGAGAUUAUUUAUUUGUUAGUUAUAGUAUCUGUACUGAAUAAACUUGGAUCAGAACCAUGUAUUGGCUCAAUGCUGAAGCUGUUUUAGCCUAAUAUCAGGUCUAGAGUAUAGUAAGAUUCUAUGGAGUUGCAAGAACUUUCCCCUGGUGCUAUAUCCCAUGGUGUUCUUUGCACACUCCCAUGUUUGCUGGAAAGCUUACAUAAUUCCCAUGAUGUUCCUAACUUAU